CCCCUUAUUCCUAAACUGUUGGGACCAAACCUCCCAAAAUUAAACCCAACCUUCCAUUGAUGGUCAUAAACCUUGUUUUUAAAUUUCAUAGAUUUCUAUUUACUUAUACUAAAGUUAUGGUGCGAAAACCAAGAAUAAUGCUUAUUUGGGCCCUUUUUUAGGCCCUAAUUCCUAAACUGUUGGGAUCUCAACUCCCAAAAUCAAUCCCAACCUUCCUUUUGUGUUCAUAAACCUUGUGUUAAAUUUCACUGAUUUCUAUUUACUUAUACUAAAGUUAUUGUGCAAAAACCAAGAAUAAUGCUUAUUUGGGCCCUUUUUUCGCCCCUAAUUCCUAAAUCAAUCCCAACCUUCCUUUUGUGGUCAUAAACCUUGUGUUUAAAUUUCAUAGAUUUCUAAAUACUUAAACUAAAGUUAUAGUGCGAAAACCAAAAGUAUUCGGACGCCGACGCCAACGUGAUACCAAUAUACGACCAAAAAAUUUUCAAUUUUUGCGGUCGUAUAAAAAUGAUAUUAAAUUUUUAACUUUGAAAAAAAUAUUUAAAAAGUACACACACACCCCUGUUUUCCCCUGGACAAAAAAACAAUGAUUGUGGUUUUGUCAAAAGCAGAGAUCUUUAAGAUUUAUGAAUGAAAUAUUUGCCUACUUUGAUCUUUUGACAUACAUCCUUCUUUUUGUCAAGCUUGCGAAAUUUAUAUCGUGUAAGCGAGACUGGGUGAUCUUACAUUCCGUCGUCAGCAUUAACGUCGUCUGUGCCAGCAUUUAGCUUCAGUCUUUGCUUAGUUUUGGUUUUACAUCAAAAAUUUGGUCAAACAUAAUGGAAAUUCGGGAAACAUGGGAAAUUUGGACAGAAACUUCUAUAUGACCAAAAUACAGUAUCCCGCAAGGGAAAAAUUAUGACUAUUUAUUUUCAUUUUUCCGUAUUUUACUUAUUAAUGGACUUUUCAAAACAUUUAAAUUCAGGUUUUGUCUGAGGUUAAAGUUUUCAUGCAAUCAAUAACCUUUUUGUUUAAUCGUCCAGUUGAAAGUUUAAUUUAUAUCCAUGCAGAUCAAGAUCAUGAUAAUAAUAUAUGAAUGUUUAAACUGUUUUGUUCUAUAUUGUGCUAGACUUUCACUUAUUUGUUAAAAAAAUGCAACAGUCCGAGCUUAUUACUUGGUGUGGCUUUUUUUUUUUUUAAUUUUUAUUAUUUAUAACUUCCAAUUUACAACAUAAUAUACACAAAUAUAAUAGCAAUAUAUAAUAUAUAAAUCUAUAGAUAUUAUCUAAUCAGUACAUCUUUCUAUUAGGAAGC
rnacentral:lncRNA from 1 species